GGAAAUCUUACCGGGACCGACAGCAAUAUGAAGGCCAGGCUGAAGACUUUGCCGGAUUAGCUGAGAGGUGGUGCAUGGCCGUCGUCAGUUCGUACUGUGAAGCAUCCUGUUAAGUCAGGCAACGAGCGAGACCCACGCCCACAGUUGCCAGCGUACUCUCUGGAGUGACGGGUACACUGUGGGACCGCCGCUGCUAAAGCGGAGGAAGGAAUGGGCAACGGUAGGUCAGUAUGCCCCGAAUAUCCCGGGCUACACGCGAGCUACAAUGGUUGGUACAAUGGGUAUCUACCCGAAAGGGACGGGAAUCUCCUAAAACCAAUCUUAGUUCGGAUUGAGGGCUGCAACUCCGCCCUCAUGAAGCUGGAAUCCGUAGUAAUCGCGUUUCAACAGAACGCGGUCGAAUACCGUCCCUGCUCCUU
rnacentral:rRNA from 1 species